rnacentral:rRNA from 1 species
AUUGAACGCUGGCGGAAUGCUUUACACAUGCAAGUCGAACGGCAGCACGGACUUCGGUCUGGUGGCGAGUGGCGAACGGGUGAGUAAUGUAUCGGAACGUGCCCAGUCGUGGGGGAUAACGUAGUGAAAAUUACGCUAAUACCGCAUACGAUCUAUGGAUGAAAGCGGGAGAUCGCAAGACCUCGCGCGAUUGGAGCGGCCGAUAUCAGGUUAGGUAGUUGGUGGGGUAAAGGCCCACCAAGCCAACGAUCUGUAGCUGGUCUGAGAGGACGACCAGCCACACUGGAACUGAGACACGGUCCAGACUCCUACGGGAGGCAGCAGUGGGGAAUUUUGGACAAUGGGCGAAAGCCUGAUCCAGCCAUUCCGCGUGCAGGAUGAAGGCCCUCGGGUUGUAAACUGCUUUUGUACAGAACGAAAAGGUUUCUACUAAUACUAGGAGCUCAUGACGGUACUGUAAGAAUAAGCACCGGCUAACUACGUGCCAGCCGCCGCUGUAA